GGGGCUGUAGCUCAGUGGCAGAGCAUUUGAUUGGUAUGCAGAAGGUCCCAGGUUCAAUCCCUGGCACCUCCA